CGGGGCAUAGCGCAGUUUGGUAGCGCACAUGGUUUGGGACCAUGGGGUCGGGGGUUCAAAUCCCUCCACCCGGACCA
rnacentral:tRNA from 1 species